UGUUGUAAGUUGCAAUAACGUGGUCUGCUUUUCUGUUUUCCGACCCAUUUAAUGAAAAUAAUAAAAAGAAGGAAAGAGAAGGGAAAAAGAAAAAAGAAAGUAAAAAUCAAAGCCUUUUUCUCCUUGGUUUGGGGCUUUCAAGUCUCUCUCAGGUAGAGAAGCUCCAUGUUCCUGUAACUACUGACAGUUGCUGCUCAUUCCUUCAUUACUCAGGUGUUAUUUUGCACUACAGGUGCUAGUGAUGACUGCUUAAAUUCUACUAAACAUUCUGAGGCACAGUAUAAUAAAGAUGGAAGCCAACAAUCUCUUGAUUCUAGACGAGUGUCAUCAUGCUGUGAAGAAACAUCCAUAUUCUUUGGUGAUCUUUGAGUUCUAUCAUACAACUCCAAAGGAGAAGAGACCUUCUGUUUCUGCAUAUUUAGCAUUUCAUACACCAUGAUAUCAAAUCUUUUAUUCCUUGCUUGUUCAGAGACCCUUUGUUAUCUAUCGCUCGGACAAAAAACCAGAUGACGAGCAAAAUCCUAAUGGUGAUGAUGGUGAACCGACUGAUUCUGAAAAUGAACUAUGCAAUAUGAUUCUGGAGGUAUGUGAUCACUCAGAUGUGAAUCUCAAUUCGGUCCUUGGGCCUCCACAACCAUGGAAUGAGGACCCCUCUGCAAAGCAGCAAGUUAAUUUUCCCCAUCCCAAUGGCUCUGGCAAUGCCUCGAAUGAGUUGCAACGGCCGUCUGAAGCUGAUGAAUUCGUGAGUUCGCUUUUAGUUGGCGAUAAUGAAUACUUCCAGCAGGAUCCAAUAGACCCUGUUUCUAAUGUCUCCAGCAACCCAUCACCAUUUUAAGCUCAUGAAGACCAUGGACAGGUAAAGUGAUACUGUCCAUUCGCUAUUGGAGUGAAGAAUUCUUCAUUCCAAUAGCCAAUGACCACUUUAUUAAGCAUGAUGCAAUAAAAUUUAAAUUAGUCUAGUCCAUGUAACCUAGCAUCUCAAACAGGCCCUGAGAAUAUCAUAAGGAGCCUUAUGAUAGUGUGCCUCUCAAUUGCAUUAUUACAAUGCUUUUGGUGAUAUUCUCCAAUAGAAAAACUGAAAUAUCUCAAGGGAAAAUGAAAGUUUGGGAAGUAUUGAGCACAGGUCAAACAAUAACUCCUUAAAAGGAAAUGUCUGAAGAUCAAAGGACUUAAAUUGAAAAUAUUAGAAGACUAAAUUAGUCUAGUUGAAAGCAUUCGGAGACUAUAUAGUCUUGGUUGACUUGAAAUUGUGAGACUAUAGUCUUAGUUGAAAGCACAAGGUGAGACAAUCAAGUUGCAGACCUGAUGGUUCGAACACUAUAGUCUUAGUUGAAAGCACAAGGUGAGACAAUCAAGUUGCAGACCUGAUGGUUCGAACCCUUUAUUUGGAAUCUGGUGCUAGACAGUAGACCAUUACCAACCAAAAA